UACAGAGGGGGCAAGCGUUGUUCGGAAUUACUGGGCGUAAAGGGCGCGUAGGCGGCCCGCUAAGUCGAACGUGAAAUCCCCGAGCUCAACUCGGGAACUGCGUCCGAUACUGGCGGGCUUGAAUCCGGGAGAGGGAUGCGGAAUUCCAGGUGUAGCGGUGAAAUGCGCAGAUAUCAGGAGGAACACCAACUGCGAAGGCAGCUCGCUGGGACGUUACUGACGCUGGAGACGCGAAAGCGUGGGGAGCAAACAGG
rnacentral:rRNA from 1 species